AUUGAACGCUGGCGGCAGGCUUAACACAUGCAAGUCGAACGGUAACAUAAAGAAGCUUGCUUCUUUGAUGACGAGUGGCGGACGGGUGAGUAAUGCUUGGGAAUCUAGCUUAUGGAGGGGGAUAACUACGGGAAACUGUAGCUAAUACCGCGUACUAUCGAAAGAUUAAAGUGUGGGACCUUCGGGCCACAUGCCAUAAGAUGAGCCCAAGUGGGAUUAGGUAGUUGGUGAGGUAAAGGCUAACCAAGCCGACGAUCUCUAGCUGGUCUGAGAGGAUGACCAGCCACACUGGGAAUGAGACACGGCCCAGACUCCUACGGGAGGCAGCAGUGGGGAAUAUUGCGCAAUGGGGGCAACCCUGACGCAGCCAUGCCGCGUGAAUGAAGAAGGCCUUCGGGUUGUAAAGUUCUUUCGGUAGCGAGGAAGGCAUUUAGUUUAAUAGACUAGGUGAUUGACGUUAACUACAGAAGAAGCACCGGCUAACUCCGUGCCAGCAGCCGCAGUAA
rnacentral:rRNA from 1 species